CUCGCCCCCGUGGACUGCAAAACCUUGAGAAGAACGAAUGAAGAAUAACUUUAUCAAGUGAUGCUGGUAGAAGGAAAGCCUAGCUCUCUUACUGGAAAAUCUGUCAACUCUCUUCCUGUUUCCCGAGUUGGGAAAAAUAGGAAAAUGACCCUGGAAAUCCUGAAGUGCACAAAGGGUCUAAGUUACCACAGCAUAAAAAUGUCAGGAGUUUAGGAGCCGCUGAACAAAU